UCAAAAUUUUUUCUUUCAAGUAUUUCUUUCAAGGUUACUCAAGAGCUGAAAUAAGAAAAGUGAUAUUGAUUUUUAUAACAGUCUUUUUACUUACUGCACACUAUAUUAUGUGCUGCUUGUUUUGGGAGAAGAAACACAAAAUAGGGACAAUUUUAGAAUAUUUUGCUCAUAUAAGGAAAAAUACCAACUGAUUCUAGUCCCCUACUUAUUGCACUCCUUCUCCCAUGUUUGAGUUCUUGGAGAUUUUUCUCAUUAAAUAAGAAAGGAUUAACAUUAACAUACUUGAUGUGAGCUCAUAACACUAAGGAGGAUGGCUCAGAAAGGCAACAAGAAAGUUACUGUUUGUUGGAUUAUUGUGCACUUACAUGUGUAUAGAAAUAGCUCCUUGGGAAAAAUACAGUGGAAGGAUUUAAUAGCCAAUGUCUAUUCAGCUCUUAAGGUGAUCCCACAGAGUAAAUUCCAAACAGAAAUCCAGCAACACAAUUUCUGAGAUGUGACAUAAAUCACCACUACUAGACUCUUCAAGACACUCUGUAAAGAAUUAAACUUCAGAACCUAUAAAGGCUAUCACCACAAUUUGCCAUUUGUUACCUUGAACACAUAUUUUUUUUCUAAAUGUCGUUUUUCUUCCUCAAGUCCUGCUUUCUUCCUGAAUUUUAUAACAAUGUUUAGUGACUCUUUUAUAUAUGAUGUAAUUUUUUCUAGCUUGUAUUCCCAAAUUACUUAUCCAAAGUGAAAAAAUGAAAAAGGAAAUCAACAUACAUAUUUUAAUUCAAAACUCAUGUCAUUAAUAGCGAUACCCAAUCUUUCACCUGUAAGCAUUCGUAGGCCUUCUCUCCUCCUCUAAAGCAAAAGGAAAGCAUAUGUAUGGCACAAGUUUUUGCUGCAGGUGAAUAUGCAGUAAAUGUGUGAACUCUUAGAUCCUGGGGAUUUUUAAAGAAAUUCAUUACAUAAAAAAAACAUUGAAAAUGAGAUAUGCACUGCUUUCCAUCGUUACCAAGCCUGAUAAUUUUGGUAAAUUCCUCUUGAGCUGUGGCCUUAAGGAUGCUGCUCUUAGGUAACUCCACGAGCCUGCCCUAGACCACAUUUCAGACUUUCAAACAUCAAUGUCUUUGCAGGAGUUGGUACGUUUGGAGAACUUGUGUUAAAUUUUAGGAGAUGAAUUUCUUAAUCUUAUCUGGAAACUGACAUGGCAAAUUUAAAUUUCUUACUGUGAGAGCUCAAAGAGAAAAGGGAAGCUUUCAUCAUACUUUUGAUAAUUUUUGAAAUGCAACCUCGUGUCUUUAGCUGAUUAUGAUGCUACUAUCAUCUGGAAAAAAUCUAUGUAAAUCUGUCUCCUGUAAGAUUACAGCUUUGCCCUAUUGAGCUAAGUCAAAAACCCUCAAACUUUGAAUUUGUAGAAAUUAAAAACAUCAAAAAUAUAUGUUAAUUAGAUAUUAUCAAAGCAGUACUGUAGAUUUUCAGCAGCCAUUUCACAAAGUAGAACAAGGGGACAAGUAUUUUAGUGUCAGUAAUAAAUAUGCAUAUUUCAAUACUGAUAUCAUAAGCCCUAAUUAAAAGUUCUCAAUUACCUUGUACAAUUUAUGAUAGGACUGAAAAAAAAAAAAACCACAGAAAGAAAUUAAAUUUGGAGAGAAAUCUAAUUUACUCAAACAGUUUAUUUCAUUUCUGCUUUAAACAUGCAAAAUCCAUGAAAGUAUAAAUUAUUAUUUAACUUCCUAUUUCAUUUGAGAAUUCUGCAGCCAACUUGAUAAAGGGCAUGGGGACUUAAUUUGUCCAGUGAGGAGCUAUCUUCACUAGCAGGGAGUGGUAAAGGUUCAGGGACGCAUUUCCUGGCUGCUUGUCCAGCCUAGAGGGUGUCAAGGGAGAAGAGAUCUCCCACCAAUUCUUGAAGGCAUAUGGAUAUUCAGAUUUGUUCCUGAACCUCUCUAUUCAUAACCUCAAUACAGGGGACAUUUCAAGGAUGGGGGAUUAGGAGCACAGGAAAAGCCAGAUGACAUGCUUCAGUGAUAUUUCAAUGAUGUAUGUUCCCUGGUGAUCUGAAAGGAUUCAAAUAAGAUAUUUCACAGAAAGUGUUUGCAAACAAGAUGUUUAAUGAUCAGCUGAAUUUAGCCUCAGAUGAAUAGCUCCAAUGCACAGCUUUGGGACUUGAGGUCAAAGGAGAAAAAUGUGUGUGGCAAGUUACAAGGACAGAGUGAUUUUCCCAGG